rnacentral:rRNA from 1 species
CCCUUGGGAGGGGGAUAACAAUUGGAAACAAUUGCUAAUACCCCAUAUGCUUAUUAGUGAAAAGAGUAAUCUGCCCGAGGAUGAGCUCAUGCCUGAUUAGCUAGUUGGUAGGGUAAAAGCCUACCAAGGCUACGAUCAGUAGUUGGUUUGAGAGGAUGAUCAGCCACACUGGGACUGAUAUACGGCCCAUACUUCUACGGAAGGCAGCAGUGGGGAAUUUUCCGCAAUGGGCGAAAGCCUGACGGAGCAAUACCGCGUGAGGGAAGAAUGCCUGUGGGUUGUAAACCUCUUUUUUUAGGGAAGAAACUAUGACGGUACCUGAAGAAUAAGCAUCGGCUAACUCCGUGCCAGCAGCCGCGGUAAUACGGGGGAUGCAAGCGUUAUCCGGAAUCACUGGGCGUAAAGAGUCUGUAGGUUGUCUAAUAAGUCUGCUGUUAAAU